rnacentral:rRNA from 1 species
AGCGAACGCUGGCGGCAGGCCUAAUACAUGCAAGUCGAGCGGGUCCUUCGGGACUAGCGGCGGACGGGUGAGUAACGCGUGGGAACGUGCCCUUUGGUACGGAACAACUGAGGGAAACUUCAGCUAAUACCGUAUGUGCCCUUCGGGGGAAAGAUUUAUCGCCAUUGGAGCGGCCCGCGUUGGAUUAGGUAGUUGGUGAGGUAAAGGCUCACCAAGCCUACGAUCCAUAGCUGGUCUGAGAGGAUGACCAGCCACACUGGGACUGAGACACGGCCCAGACUCCUACGGGAGGCAGCAGUAGGGAAUCUUGCGCAAUGGGCGAAAGCCUGACGCAGCCAUGCCGCGUGAAUGAUGAAGGUCUUAGGAUUGUAAAUUCUUUCACCGGGGACGAUAAUGACGGUACCCGGAGAAGAAGCCCCGGCUAACUUCGUGCCAGCAGCCGCGGUAAGGAGUAGUACA